UUGUCAGGUAAAACUGAGGUUUCAGUUGUUCCUGUCAUGGGACAGCAGCAGAUACAUCUGCUCACUAGUCACAGGUUCUCAUUAUCUGUCUAAAUAAAGGUACUCUCUACAUGUUUGCAUAUAUGAUUAUUUAUUUUUACUUUUUUUCACUGCUUCUAAA
rnacentral:lncRNA from 1 species